ACUAAUUCCUUGUUUCUACCGUUCGUUCUUUUGGAAAAGGUGAUAUUUCGCGCUCUCAGCGUGAUAAACGAGGAGAAGAGAAUUCUAUCGAGCUAAACCUACGAGGUUGAGUGGUGACGAGCGGGCGGCGGUGUUGAGUAGAGAAUAAUAGAAUGAUCUGUUGGUACUUAAGGUGUCGUUGUGUCUUCAUACAUAGCCUCACUUCUUUCUUGGUCGCUUCCGCUAUGCUAUGCUAUUUUUAUGAAAACUUAUGAUCUUUUGUUGGGAUAAAUACUGUUAUUUCGUGGGUAUAUUUUGGGUAUAGAACACUUGGAAAUAUUUUGGAACCUUUGCUGCUUUGGAGCAUUUAUGGUGAUAGCCUUUUUUUUUUU